rnacentral:lncRNA from 10 species
CCAGACUCAGCCUCCUCCCUGGGUGCUAGUUCUGGAUCCCACUUGGAGUCUCCUUGCCCUCAGGCCAUCUGGACUUGCAGUCUUCGCCACCGUGUGGGAAUUUGAUCCCUUGGGUUCUUUCCUCUGCGUGGUGCUAGUGGUUGGGCACUUGGGUGCAGCAGGAUGUAGUCAUCUCUAGGACGGUGGAAAAAUCUGUAUUUUAGCUUCCAGGAAAGAAUUCCCAAACUGGCCUUCCUACAAAUCAGUGAGGAUCUCCAAUGUUAUUUGGUCAUCCCCCGAGGUGUCUGAGAGACAUUUGUUCCUCCUUCCCCACCUUGUCCAGGAGCGGCUUCUGCUCUCCCUGCUGCCGGCCCACAUCGCCAUGGAGAUGAAAGCGGAGAUCAUCCAGAGGCUGCAGGGCCCCAAGGCGGGCCAGAUGGAGAACACAAAUAACUUCCACAACCUGUAUGUGAAGCGGCAUACAAACGUGAGGUACGACGCUAUGCUUGCUCCUUGGCUGGUCUGGGAGUCUGCCUGACUGGAGACAUUUUGCCUGGGAUCUCACACCUCAUAUCACCAUCUCUCCUUUGUGACAGUGGAUCCUUUGCAGGGGAAAUAAUCACACAGAUUCUGCCAUCCCACUCACCUGUUCCUGCCUCUCAGGGCCUUCACAUUAAGAUGAGAAAAUAGGAUGCUGUUUGCUGUGUUGGAUUGAGUUGUCCUUCAUAGCCCUGGCUUCUGUAGCCAAGCAUCCAUCACAGAAAGGAGUGAAGGGGACAGCGGGGUCUUCAUUCUGGAAACCCCGUGGUCAGAUUGCAGUAAGAUUGGAGGGAGAGUCUGUGGGAUCUCCAGGCACAAGACUGAGUCCUCCAAAUAGACUUUGCAGGAGCAGGGCCUCUGUGAAGACAACACAUCCCAGGGAAGCUGGGUGUUCCUCUCUCCAUCAGCACGAUGAGUUUCUCAGGUCUGGAAGACCAGUGACCAAAGUCACAGAACACUGAUGUGCACCUUAGCUAAUUUACCGUGAAAGUUACUGCUUUUCUGAGACUGGUAUACUCAUAUCUACUUCCCAGGAGUCGUUCUGGGAAUUACAGUGCCUAGAAAACUAACAUGUUAUCAUCAUGGGAUUAUAGUAGGGAAAGAGAUUGGUGUGGGGCUUCUGUCUCCCAUGAGCUCUAGAGAGAAAUUAUGAGGAGGCCUCACUUCAGGCUGGAGAGGAUUGUCCCUCCCAUUUCUCUCCUGCCCCUGUCUCCGAGCCACAGCAGAGCGAGGCCCACCCAGACCGUCUCGAUUUCUGUGCCCCUCCCAUUCCCAGUACCACGUCUUUUGGGGGUUUGUUCUUUCAUCCACUCAGUAUGUUAAUACACUGCUUUGCAUUCUAGCUGGGUGUAGUUGUCCAUUCUUGCACUGCUAUAAAAAACUAACUGAGACUGGGUAAUUUAUAAAGAAAAGAGGUUUAAUUGACUCACAGUUCUGCAGGCCUUACAGGAAGCAUGACUGGGGAGGCCUCAGGAAACUUAUAAUCACGGCAGAAGGUGAAGGGGAAGCAGGCACGUUUUACAUGUCCAGAGAAGGAGAAAGAGAGGGAAGGGGAAGGUGUCACACACUUUUAAACAGACCUUGUGAGAGCUCACUCACUAUCACAAGAACAGCAAGGGAGAAAUCUACCCCUCUGGCCCAAUCGCCUCCCAGGCCCCUCCUCCAACACUGGGGAUUACAAUUCGACAUGAGAUUUGGGUGGGGACACAAAUCCAAACCAUAUCACUGAGUUAUCGCCAUAAGUAACCUGUGCAUGAAUCUGACCUCAUCUGUUAUGUUUUGAUGGUCUUCGUUUAGUCAUUAGAGUUUUUAGAAGAGCCAGGCUGCUUCAGGUCUAGGUUUUUUGAAGCUUAUUAAAGAGAAACAAAUUUAACCGUUACUUAAA